rnacentral:tRNA from 1 species
GGUCUCACGGUAUAAUGGUUAGCCCUCUGGACUCUGAAUCCAGCGAUCCGAGUUCAAAUCUCGGUGGGACUU